AUGCAACUCUCUGCCAUUUGUGUUACCAUUAGCAGAAGGUACAUGCUUGAAGAAGCUAUUAAGCGGAUCCAUGGUACAAUUCAUGCAUUCAAGCUCACUGAUGAUAAUGACGACACAGUAAUGGCAUCCGUGAAAAUUGAUCUCCAGCCCCACAGCCAAAGCAUGUUGCCAACCCAACAUCUGUUCUUUGGAGAAUCAACUCGGUUUGCCAACGAUGCUAUCGAAUCAACAUGUUCUGCUGCUUUGGCCUAUCUGGUAACCAUGGGCAUCAUCACAAUAGACGGUUCCAACUCGACAAGCCUCAAGAAAUGCCAAAGGGAGCUCAAAGCUGAGCAGUUUUGGUCAUCUGUGCUAUUUGAGCGGGCAGAAUCCUUUCAAAAACAGCUCGCCUCUUUGACCGCGACAAAGAAAGGGCCUCAUUCAGAAAGUGACAAUGAUAACAGUCCAGCACCCAAAUGUGCACGAAUUAGAGGAUGGCUUGAACGACGCCACCAGCUCGCUUCCACUAACCGAAGAAGCAUCAGACAAUGA
rnacentral:rRNA from 1 species